rnacentral:rRNA from 1 species
UACGUAGGGGGCAAGCGUUGUCCGGAAUCAUUGGGCGUAAAGAGCGUGUAGGCGGCCCGAUAAGUCCGCUGUGAAAGUCCAGGGCUCAACCCUGGAAUGCCGGUGGAUACUGUCGGGCUCGAGUUCGGAAGAGGUGAGUGGAAUUCCUGGUGUAGCGGUGAAAUGCGCAGAUAUCGGGAGGAACACCAGUGGCGAAGGCGGCGACCUGGACGGACACUGACGCUGAGACGCGAAAGCGUGGGGAGCAAACAGG